rnacentral:rRNA from 1 species
CAGCAGCCACGGGAAUACGGAGGGAGCUAGCGUUGUUCGGAAUUACUGGGCGUAAAGCGUGCGUAGGUGGUGGUUUAAGUCCGUUGUGAAAGCCCUGGGCUCAACCUGGGAAUUGCAGUGGAUACUGGGUCACUAGAGUGUGGUAGAGGAUAGUGGAAUUUCCGGUGUAGCAGUGAAAUGCGUAGAGAUCGGAAGGAACAUCUGUGGCGAAGGCGACUAUCUGGGCCAACACUGACACUGAGGCACGAAAGCGUGGGGAGCAAACAGGAUUAGAUACCCGAGUAGUCCCUGUCUCUUAUAC